UACAUGUGGGGCAAGCGUUGUUCGGAAUUACUGGGCGUAAAGGGUGCGUAGGCGGCUUGCUAAGUCAGUGGUGAAAUCGUCCGGCCCAACCGGACACGUGCCAAUGAUACUGGUGAGCUAGAGUGCGUGAGGGGUAGGGGGAACGAGCAGUGUAGCGGUGAAAUGCGUAGAUAUCAGGAAGAACACCCGUGGCGAAAGCGGCUCUCUGGAACGGUACUGACGCUGAGACGCGAAAGCGUGGGGAGCGAACAGG
rnacentral:rRNA from 1 species